GAAUAUGCAAAUAGGGAAGACUCACAUGAUAGCCAGGAUCACAUGUGUUCAUGUGAAUCAGGAGGUCCUGGUUUCGAUUCAGGCUGCUACAUUUUUCCCCUGUGGGUAAAGCCAUUCAUGUAGCAAAGAUAUAAUACUUUUACCAUUUUCAUGAGCUGCAGUAUUUGCUUAGCAAAAAACAGCUUCUUGUUAGUCAUUUACAUCAGCAAUUUCAUGGCAGUCUUAAGGCAGCACAGUAAUGUUUGAAAACACCUCAAAUUCUCUAAGAUAGCAGCUUUAACACAAUACCAAGAGACAGAUGUCUCUCCUUCUGUCAGGUUACAAAACAAGUAUGCUUAAAAAUCCCAUUAUCUUAGGCAAAAGUGAAAACUCAGCUCUAAAAUUUUACAGGAGCAAUCCAUAUUUCAAUCAACCUCAUAACAAGAACGAACUAGACUGAUAAAAGCAAGGCUGAGAGCAUGAUGCAAAUGACAGCCCUCUGCCAUUUAGACACUUACGGGACAGAGAGACAAAUUUCCAGAAAGGCUCAAGCCUACCAGACCCAUGCACACGGACACCCAGAGCACAGUCAGGCAUGUGGCACAUCAUGUAGUGCCUCCGAGCCCCAGCCCCCAGCCGGUGAUCCCAGGCACAAUUCAGGCUCCGUUGGCCUUAAAGCUAAAGCAGAGUCAGAGAAUGAGCAAGCAAGAUCAUCCAUUUCUAAGCAGACAUGUACAACUGAUUUCAGUUAAUUAAACCCCCAAAAGCAAAACAACAAAAAGAAAAACCCAAUAAGGCUGCAAAUCUAGGUUUUCUUGAGGUCGUUGAGCACUACUGCAUGACACAAGUGUGUGUUGAACUAGAGAGAAGAUAAAUCACCGGAUUUAUUUAGCCCUCAGAGAUUCAGCUCUUUCCCCAGCUAAUGCCACGUGAGCUCAUGCUUUUGCACAGCCUGUGCUCCGUCUGUAGCUAAGUCCUGUGCUGCCGAAAAUCCUUGUCUCAUGUCGCUGCACCAAAGCAUGACAAUCACGUGUUUUCUUCCUCUCUCCUCAGCAGAGACCUACAGCUAUCCAUCAAGUACCAUCAAGGAACAUGCUGCCAAAAGAGAUUCUAUGAAUUCCAGUGAACUGUGGUACUCGACUCUCAGCCACAAUGUAAAACAUGAAGCCUCCGAGAUUGAUGGCAAUAAUCAGACAGAAUACGCACUUGUCAAAGUGCCCAAGGCGAAGAAAACUAUCACCAGCCCUGAAGAAUAUAGUGAAUAUGAUGAUGUCCUGGUAACUUAGAAGGCACUCUUUUACUUCAGUGUAUGCAGCCGUGAUAACCAUCUUACCUCUGCUGUCAGGUCUUCAAACAAACAACUCUCUCUCUCUCUCUCUCUCUCUCUCCCAAGCUUACAUAUUAGGAUACAUCUACCAGUCAUUUCCUGUGAGACAAACCUGUCCAUGAAAAGGUGAUCAGAGAAAGAAACAUGGACAGGGUACAGGACUUGACAACUAAACCAGGAGGAAUCAGUAGCAACUGCUAUCAUAAAGACAACGUUCCUCUAUAGAAAAUGAGGAGCUUCAAUGUUAGAAGCAACUGAGGCUGCACAUUUUUCUGGACUUUUAUAAUACUUUUUAAGGGUGUGUUAAAGAGCUACUGAUACAAAUCUCAAAAAUGCAAUAAUAACAGGGUUAUUUUGUUUGUUUGGGGCAUCUUUUAUGUUUUAAAUGAGAGCAUAAACCUUGUAUUAGAUGCACUUACACUUUUCCAAAGUUUUUCUGUCCUGCUUGAUUAAUACUAUUAUACAAUGCACAACUUUUAUAAAUAACUCAUUUCUCAAAUUCCCCCCUUCCCCUUUUAAUGUACUACUCGUCUAAGAGUCAAGUCUUAAUGAAGUUGGAAUUAAAUAAAAAAACCCAAUAAACUGCA
rnacentral:lncRNA from 1 species